GAAUACGAAGCGAUAAAUUGCAAUUAGUUUCGACCUAAUCUUAGAUGUUACUAUGCAUCCUUAUUCU
rnacentral:tRNA from 1 species